rnacentral:rRNA from 1 species
AUUGAACGCUGGCGGAAUGCUUUACACAUGCAAGUCGAACGGCAGCACGGGGGCAACCCUGGCGGCGAGUGGCGAACGGGUGAGUAAUACAUCGGAACGUGCCCAGUCGUGGGGGAUAACGUAGCGAAAGUUACGCUAAUACCGCAUACGAUCUACGGAUGAAAGCGGGGGACCGUAAGGCCUCGCGCGAUUGGAGCGGCCGAUGUCAGAUUAGGUAGUUGGUGAGGUAAAGGCUCACCAAGCCGACGAUCUGUAGCUGGUCUGAGAGGACGACCAGCCACACUGGGACUGAGACACGGCCCAGACUCCGACGGGAGGCAGCAGUGGGGAAUUUUGGACAAUGGGCGCAAGCCUGAUCCAGCCAUUCCGCGUGCAGGACGAAGGCCUUCGGGUUGUAAACUGCUUUUGUACGGAACGAAAAGGCUCUGGUUAAUACCUGGGGCUCAUGACGGUACCGUAAGAAUAAGCACCGGCUAACUACGUGCCAGCCGCCGCGGUAA